rnacentral:rRNA from 1 species
AUGUCGCUGCGGCCCAACGAGCGGGCCGAGGUGCGGCGCAGCCGCUACAAGGCGUCCGUCGACGCCGAGGACGGGCGCCGGCGGCGGGAGGAUCAGAUGGUGGAGAUCCGGAAGAAUCAGCGCGACGCGAACCUCCAGAAGAAGCGCCGCGACGGGUUCCCGGCCGGCGCCGCGUCCGCUGCCGGUGGCGCGCCGCAGAUGGGCCACUCCUCGGCUCUCCAGCAGAAGCUGGAGGGCUUGCCCGCGAUGGUGCAGGCGGUUCUCUCGGACGACAACGCCGUGCAGCUCGAGGCCACCACCCAGUUCCGGAAGCUGCUCUCCAUCGAGCGAAGCCCUCCAAUUGAGGAAGUGAUCAACACAGGCGUGGUGCCUCGCUUCAUUGAGUUCCUCACACGGGAGGACUAUCCCCAACUCCAGUUUGAGGCUGCAUGGGCGCUCACCAACAUCGCGUCAGGCACAUCAGACAACACCAAAGUGGUGGUUGAGUAUGGUGCUGUGCCCAUCUUUGUCAAGCUACUCAGCUCUCCUAGUGAGGAUGUCCGCGAACAGGCUGUUUGGGCUCUGGGGAAUGUUGCUGGUGACUCUCCAAAGUGCCGUGACCUUGUGCUUGGAAGUGGUGGUCUGUUCCCUUUGUUGCAGCAGCUCAAUGAGCAUGCCAAGCUCUCGAUGCUCAGGAAUGCCACAUGGACACUCUCCAACUUCUGCCGUGGGAAACCACAGCCAAAUUUUGAACAGGUCAAACCGGCUCUCUCAGCACUGCAGCGCCUUAUCCACUCUCAGGAUGAGGAGGUGCUAACUGAUGCCUGCUGGGCUCUCUCGUACCUUUCUGAUGGAACUAAUGACAAGAUCCAAUCCGUGAUUGAGUCUGGUGUUUUUCCUCGGCUUGUGGAGCUUCUCUUGCACCCUUCGGCUUCUGUUCUCAUUCCAGCUCUGCGCACGGUGGGUAACAUUGUCACUGGUGAUGAUUUGCAGACUCAGUGUGUCAUUGAUCACCAAGCACUUCCCUGUCUCUUGAACCUCUUGACUACCAACCACAAGAAAAGCAUCAAGAAAGAAGCAUGCUGGACAAUCUCAAACAUCACAGCUGGUAACCGGGACCAGAUUCAGGCUGUUAUCCAGGCAAACAUUAUUGGUCCGCUGGUCCAUCUCCUGCAAGGUGCUGAAUUUGACAUUAAGAAGGAGGCAGCUUGGGCAAUUUCAAAUGCCACUUCUGGUGGAACACAUGAUCAGAUUAAGUAUCUUGUUGCCCAGGGUUGCAUCAAGCCGCUCUGUGAUCUGCUCAUUUGCCCGGAUCCCAGAAUUGUAACAGUUUGCUUGGAAGGUCUUGAGAACAUCCUGAAGGUUGGGGAGGCAGAAAAGAACCUUGGAGCAGGGGAUGUCAACAACUAUGCGCAGAUGAUUGAUGACGCUGAGGGACUGGAAAAGAUUGAGAACCUUCAGAGCCAUGACAACACAGAAAUAUAUGAGAAGGCAGUGAAGAUGCUUGAGUCCUACUGGUUGGAGGAGGAAGAUGAGGUCAUGCCCUCAGGUGAUAAUGCCCAGAAUGGCUUCAACUUUGGAAGUCAGCAGAACUCGGUUCCAUCGGGUGGGUUCAACUUUGGCUGA